rnacentral:tRNA from 1 species
CGGGAUGUAGCUUAGUGGACUAAAGCGCUGGCUUCGGGAGUCAGAGAUCGGCGGUUCGAAUCCGCCCAUCCCGA